CUCUGUUCACGGAAAGGGCCUGGGAGCUGCAACACCUCAACAGCAACAAGCACACCUGCUACCUAGAACUUGGUUUCUAAAAACCAUCCUCCUCUAAAAGGAAACAGAGCUCUUUGAAGAAACGGUAUUCUAAUAAUACUGCGUGACAUUACGGACAACUUAGCCUAAAUUAUGGAAAAUCAAAUUAUUUAGUAGAACUGCAAGACAAUCCUCUCAGUUGUUGUACAGAAGGUAAGCAUGAGCAAAUUACUUUUUAGAGGUAACUUUGCUGAACUUGUGAAGAAUGGUGUGCAAGGUCCAGAGCGACUGCAGGAGAGGGAAGGUGGGAUUCCCACAGAGCAGGAGCACAGAUAAGCCAAGCAAGGCCCUGCUUGGAAGGCAGCAAUCAACAGAGAUGCACAGACCUGUGAGGGUGCCGGGACAGCCAUGCAACAAUGCAGCCCUUUUGCUUCCUGAGCUCACCAGUUCCCUCGCUCCACCUCUGAGAGGUGGUUUGGAGAAACACAGCCCUUCUCAAGAGGGCUGCAAGCUACUUAAGUCCUGAAAAUUUCCACAAGGCUGAGUCAAAUCUGCGUUUCAUCAUCUAUAAGAAAGGUACCUAUCGAGAACACCCUGCUGGCCAGUGUGUAAAUAUCUAAAGGAGGACUCAGAAAACACCGGGGAAGUCCAGCCUGCACGUGGUGGCUGGGCUUCAGUGAAGCAUGCAGCACAACAGGAGUUGUAAGUAGUAGUUACAUCAGCAGCCCUGGAAAUUCUGCUCAGAACCAAACUGAACAAAUAACAUUAUCUAAGGCUUACAAUUAUUUAACUCCCUAAAUUUUCUGUCCUCCCAGUAGCACUUUCAAAUGCCUAAAAGCAAUUAAAAGAAACAUUUUUCCAAUGUCUCACAGAACCAUUAGAAACACAAAAUUAAUAGCUUCAUAAACUAUAGCUUCUAUUUUAUCCAUAAUAGAAUGAAGGUGCAUAAACCACAUAGUAAUUAAUCUUUGGACAAAAGCAAACAAUAAAUGGAAUAUAUGGCUAA
rnacentral:lncRNA from 1 species